UCCCUGGUGGCUCAGAGGUUAAAGCAUCCACCUGUAAUGUGGGACGCCUGGUUCGAUCCCUGGAUUGGGAA
rnacentral:tRNA from 1 species